CUUUAAGUUUGGUUUGUAUUCAGUGUGGAGCUUGGAUAAAGAAUUUGCAUUGCUUUGACAGAGCCAAGGAAAUAUAGUUCCACAGAACGAAGACUUUGCUUCUUUUCCCCCUUAAAAGAAGACUGUGGAAGGAACGGGAUCAGACCAGUGGCCCAUCUGUUCCAGCUUCUUUUUCUCACAGUGGCCAAUCAGAUUCCCAUUGGAAGCUUGAAAGCAGGACCUGAAGUGCAACAGCUCCCCAGCUCUCCCCACUUGUGAUUCCCUGCAACUGGUAUCCCAAAGUAUACUGCCUCCGACCGUGGAGGUAGUACAUAGUCUUCAGUGGACUUGUUGCACUAGAGGAGGUAGAGCGCUUUAAUCUACUUUUAACUGCACAAACGUAAACGUCCUGCUUGAAUCCUUCCUGCAAAAUACUGACAAUCUGGAGGUGGCCAUAGUUAGCAUGUGCCAAAGCAGAUGGCUUAGCGGAUGAAAGAAUGAAGGCAAGGAGAAAGAUGUCCACUUAUCUGGUGGUAGCUGGUGACUCCAUGUCAGUGGGGCAGUGGAAUCCGCUACGGAGUUUAGUCUGAACUUUCAAGGAGCUGUCCAAAGUGCUUCAGCACCUUGUCUUGUCUUAUUGACACUGCCACAAUCACUAGUCAAGCUGUUUAGAUGGAAGAUGGAAGGGACAAAGUCUUACUGAAUAUUGGACUUUGGAUAUGUUAAGACCAGGAAGUGCUUACAGAUAAACCAAAAUUCCACUCCAAAAUCUGUCAGGUAGGAUGUUGUAAAGCUGCCAUUGUGAUGAUUUGUUAUUGUUUUAUUCUCUGUAUGGUUUAUUUUUAUGUACUCUUAGAAAUGCUCAUGAUUAAGCAGAAUAUAAAUACCAUAAAUGAAUGAAUGAAUGAAAUUUAUUCACUGUGAGCUGCUUACUAAGGUGGCCAUAUUUGGAAUCAAGAACUCUUGUACCAUCACACCUCUCCAAUGGUAUUGCCGAAGAGGACACAAAGAAAUGCAGGACUUUUUUUCAGAGCAGGAUCAAUGACAAUCUGCUGGAUCCCUAGCAUAAAUGACAGAUUCUACUUGCUCUGGCAAGAGAAUGAAGUGACCAUGAGACUUUCAAGUUUAUUUGUAACAGAGUAGCAUAGAGGAAAUUAGAGAAUUAGGCAAUCAGUCUUGCAGAGGCUGGAUAUUUUCUCCCCUUUCUUUGAUGGGCUUUUUGUAUGUGCCAUGUGCAUUGAUGGCACUAUAUAUUAAUAAAUUAAUUAUAAUACUGCACACUAGCAGUUUAAA